rnacentral:rRNA from 1 species
GGCGGCGUGCUUAACACAUGCAAGUCGAACGAACCUUCGGGUUAGUGGCGGACGGGUGAGUAACGCGUGAGAAUCUGCCCUCAGGAGGGGGAUAACGGCUGGAAACGGCCGCUAAUACCCCAUAUGCCGAGAGGUGAAAUGAAUUUCGCCUGAGGAUGAGCUCGCGUCUGAUUAGCUAGUUGGUGGGGUAAAGGCCUACCAAGGCUUCGAUCAGUAGCUGGUCUGAGAGGAUGAUCAGCCACACUGGGACUGAGACACGGCCCAGACUCCUACGGGAGGCAGCAGUGGGGAAUUUUCCGCAAUGGGCGAAAGCCUGACGGAGCAACGCCGCGUGAGGGAUGAAGGCCUCUGGGCUGUAAACCUCUUUUAUCAAGGAAGAAGAUCUGACGGUACUUGAUGAAUAAGCCACGGCUAAUUCCGUGCCAGCAGC